GAUGAAGAACGCAGCGAAAUGCGAUAAGUAGUGUGAAUUGCAGAAUUCAGUGAAUCAUCGAAUCUUUGAACGCACAUUGCGCCCCUUGGUAUUCCAUGGGGCAUGCCUGUUCGAGCGUCAUUUGUACCUUCAAGCUCUGCUUGGUGUUGGGUGUUUGUCUCGCCUCUGCGUGUAGACUCGCCUCAAAACAAUUGGCAGCCGGCGUAUUGAUUUCGGAGCGCAGUACAUCUCGCGCUUUGCACUCAUAACGACGACGUCCAAAAGUACAUUUUUACCCUCUUGACCUCGGAUCAGGUAGGGAUACCCGCUGAACUUAAGCAUAUCAAUAAGCGGAGGA
rnacentral:misc_RNA from 1 species